rnacentral:rRNA from 1 species
UUAAGCGACUAAGCGUACACGGUGGAUGCCCUGGCAGUCAGAGGCGAUGAAGGACGUGCUAAUCUGCGAAAAGCGUCGGUAAGGUGAUAUGAACCGUUACAACCGGCGAUGUCCGAAUGGGGAAACCCAGUGCAAUUCGUUGCACUAUCGUUAACUGAAUACAUAGGUUAACGAGGCGAACCGGGGGAACUGAAACAUCUAAGUACCCCGAGGAAAAGAAAUCAACCGAGAUUCCCCCAGUAGCGGCGAGCGAACGGGGAGCAGCCCAGAGUCUGAAUCAGCUUGUGUGUUAGUGGAACGGUCUGGAAAGUCCGACGGUACAGGGUGAUAGUCCCGUACACCAAAAUGCACAGGCUGUGAACUCGAAGAGUAGGGCGGGACACGUGGUAUCCUGUCUGAAUAUGGGGGGACCAUCCUCCAAGGCUAAAUACUCCUGACUGACCGAUAGUGAACCAGUACCGUGAGGGAAAGGCGAAAAGAACCCCGGCGAGGGGAGUGAAAAAGAACCUGAAACCGUGUACGUACAAGCAGUGGGAGCACCUUCGGGUGUGACUGCGUACCUUUUGUAUAAUGGGUCAGCGACUUAUAUUCUGUAGCAAGGUUAACCGUAUAGGGGAGCCGCAGGGAAACCGAGUCUUAACUGGGCGUUAAGUUGCAGGGUAUAGACCCGAAACCCGGUGAUCUAGCCAUGGGCAGGUUGAAGGUUGGGUAACACUAACUGGAGGACCGAACCGACUAAUGUUGAAAAAUUAGCGGAUGACUUGUGGCUGGGGGUGAAAGGCCAAUCAAACCGGGAGAUAGCUGGUUCUCCCCGAAAGCUAUUUAGGUAGCGCCUCGUGAACUCAUCUUCGGGGGUAGAGCACUGUUUCGGCUAGGGGGUCAUCCCGACUUACCAACCCGAUGCAAACUACGAAUACCGAAGAAUGUUAUCACGGGAGACACACGGCGGGUGCUAACGUCCGUCGUGAAGAGGGAAACAACCCAGACCGCCAGCUAAGGUCCCAAAGUCAUGGUUAAGUGGGAAACGAUGUGGGAAGGCACAGACAGCCAGGAUGUUGGCUUAGAAGCAGCCAUCAUUUAAAGAAAGCGUAAUAGCUCACUGGUCGAGUCGGCCUGCGCGGAAGAUGUAACGGGGCUAAACCAUGCACCGAAGCUGCGGCAGCGACACUAUGUGUUGUUGGGUAGGGGAGCGUUCUGUAAGCCUGCGAAGGUGGCCUGUGAGGGUUGCUGGAGGUAUCAGAAGUGCGAAUGCUGACAUAAGUAACGAUAAAGCGGGUGAAAAGCCCGCUCGCCGGAAGACCAAGGGUUCCUGUCCAACGUUAAUCGGGGCAGGGUGAGUCGACCCCUAAGGCGAGGCCGAAAGGCGUAGUCGAUGGGAAACAGGUUAAUAUUCCUGUACUUGGUGUUACUGCGAAGGGGGGACGGAGAAGGCUAUGUUAGCCGGGCGACGGUUGUCCCGGUUUAAGCAUGUAGGCGGAGGUUCCAGGUAAAUCCGGUACCUUUUAACGCUGAGGUGUGAUGACGAGGCACUACGGUGCUGAAGUAACAAAUGCCCUGCUUCCAGGAAAAGCCUCUAAGCAUCAGGUAACAUCAAAUCGUACCCCAAACCGACACAGGUGGUCAGGUAGAGAAUACCAAGGCGCUUGAGAGAACUCGGGUGAAGGAACUAGGCAAAAUGGUGCCGUAACUUCGGGAGAAGGCACGCUGGUGUGUAGGUGAAGUCCCUGCGGAUGGAGCUGAGACCAGUCGAAGAUACCAGCUGGCUGCAACUGUUUAUUAAAAACACAGCACUGUGCAAACACGAAAGUGGACGUAUACGGUGUGACGCCUGCCCGGUGCCGGAAGGUUAAUUGAUGGGGUUAUCCGUAAGGAGAAGCUCUUGAUCGAAGCCCCGGUAAACGGCGGCCGUAACUAUAACGGUCCUAAGGUAGCGAAAUUCCUUGUCGGGUAAGUUCCGACCUGCACGAAUGGCGUAAUGAUGGCCAGGCUGUCUCCACCCGAGACUCAGUGAAAUUGAACUCGCUGUGAAGAUGCAGUGUACCCGCGGCAAGACGGAAAGACCCCGUGAACCUUUACUAUAGCUUGACACUGAACAUUGAGCCUUGAUGUGUAGGAUAGGUGGGAGGCUUUGAAGCGUGGACGCCAGUCUGCGUGGAGCCAACCUUGAAAUACCACCCUUUAAUGUUUGAUGUUCUAACGU